rnacentral:rRNA from 1 species
UACGGAGGGAGCAAGCGUUACUCGGAAUUAUUUGGGCGUAAAGGGCGCGUAGGCGAUUUUGAAAAGUCUUGUGUGAAAGCCCCGAGCUUAACUCGGGAAGUGCACAAGAAACUGUUUGAAUUUGAGUUUCCGGAGAGGAAGGCAGAAUUCCCGGUGUAGCGGUGAAAUGCGUAGAUAUCGGGAGGAAUACCAGUGGCGAAGGCGGCCUUCUGGACGGAUACUGACGCUGAGGCGCGAAAGCCAGGGGAGCAAAGCGGG